AACUGGUUAUAUCCACGAUGAGUCUACUCUCUAAGAAGACGCCCAAUUCCAGCUAGCUGAUUUAGCAGGAAUUUGUCACAUUUCUUUCACCUCAAAUGAAGCUAUUGGACUGAGCCAGCUGAAGAAACCCGACAAAAAUAGGUGCUAAAGGUAGCUAUCCAGCCAACUGCCUAGGGGGUUCAGUUCAAACGGUCUAGGUCCUGUCUGCAGUGCUUUGUCAUGCCCAUCUCUUCCAGGCACUCUUGGAUGGCUGCCCUCAGCUCACAGGGCCAUCUGUCCAAGCUGCAUAUACCAGCUGGCCAGGCCAUUAUUUGUACUGGAGAGCAGACCUGAGCCCUAGAACCAUGCCCCAGGACUACCUGACAUGAUGACUCCUUGCUGUCCCCA